AUUGAACGCUGGCGGCGUGCCUAACACAUGCAAGUCGAGCGGUAACAGGUGUAGCAAUACAUGCUGACGAGCGGCGAACGGGUGAGUAAUGCUUCGGAAUCUGCCCAUGUAGGUGGGGAAUAACCAGCCGAAAGGUUGGCUAAUACCGCAUACGACCCUUGCCCACAAGGACAAAGGUGAAAGCAGGGGAUCGCAAGACCUUGCGCUAUUGGAUGAGCCGAAGUCGGAUUAGCUAGUUGGUAGGGUAACGGCCUACCAAGGCGACGAUCCGUAGCUGGUCUGAGAGGACGACCAGCCACACUGGG
rnacentral:rRNA from 1 species